AAAAGAAAGUAACAAAUUGUACACAAUCUAAAAGAAGAUGCACUUACUGACUUAUUUAUGCCCACAUAUACUGCAUUAACGCAAUGAUCACCGAUGACACUUCAUUUGCGAAUGUUGUGUUUUGGUAUAGGGUGCAAAGUGUGCGAGCUGGGUUGCAAAGUGUGCGAGCUGGGGGAAAGUUGGGUAAUGGGUCAAAACUGGUCGGGUCAGGUUUGGUUGACCCAUAACUUUUAUAUAUAACAUGUAGUUUCUACUUUAAUUACAAAAUCGUGUUAUUUCAUGAUAUUUGCUUUUAUCCAGGUUUUUGUUUUGAUAAUUAUCCGAACAUGACAAUGAUGCAUAUCUUGAAGCCUAUGAAGGUCUUUGCCGGAACUAUCCUUACAUUGUUGAAUAAGAAGAGGGAGUAAGGCACCUAAUGAAAAUCCUUGCAGCCACUAGAAAGUAUUGGUAUGAACUUUGUUAUUAAUUGAGUCUCAUAUUACAAAUUCAAGAUCACUGGUUGCCUCUGGAUCCCAUGGUGUAAGGAUCCGUUAAAUUUUGCAGACCCGCCUUAUUUUUUUCGGAUAUAUGUGCCUUUGUCAUAAAGAGACGACCAACAGACAACGACAACAACGAUGCAGUGAUAAACAAGACAAUUGAUGCCGUAUUUUUUAUAGCGCUGUGGUGCUUGAAUCGGGUUGUGAUUGGUAACGAUUUGCAAUGGUCGUGCCUACGCAACUUAUAUCGGAGGUUAGUAUGGUGAAAUUUGCAGUUUUUAAAUUUGAAGUCGCAUCUUUUUCAUUUACGCAACUAAUGGAGUUGAUCAACGUCUGCUAUCUAAUCUUCUCAUACAGUGAUGAGAUAACCGGAGCGACGUGUUGAAGCUGGUUAGUUUCGUGUUGGUCAUAUUCAUUUAAGUGUGGUCAUUUCCUGCCAGGUAUGAAUUUUAUCACAUUUGAUUUUAGUUAUUUAUGACCACUUUUAAAACUUAUCAUAGAAACAUCAAGAACAAAAACCACUUUCUUGUGCUAAAUUUCUUUUUAUAGUUUUUUUGCCAUUCAAAUCUAUAAGAAAUGGAUUUUCAAAGCAAACAAAGUUUGAUCAAUAGGUCAUCAGUCAAUCAAUUUUUCUAAUACACCCAGUAUAAAAAUCAAUAAAAAAAUUUUUGUUGUUAAAAAUCCUUUUUUAUUUAAUAACCUUGAGAGAUAAAGGUCAUGUUUUGGGAUGGCAUUAAUGAAGCAAGCUUAUUUUCAUCAGGUUUGCUCGCAACAUGUUAUGUUCAGCAAUCAUGUUCUACCUAUUGUGUUUUAAUAUGUGACUUGUGCAUUACCUCGAAGUAGCAAUUGCGAUUAUUAGCAUGAGAAAAUUUGACUUUUAGUUGAAUAUGCAGUAAAGUAUGUAGAGAAGAAGAGUUCGAUGAAGACGUAGAAGGGAGGAACGAGAGUCGAGAUAAGGAAGAGAAUGUUGUGGUAGUAGAGUGGUCGGUUGGUGACGAUGACGGUGAGUGGUAGCGGAGGAAUUGAACCAGACGAGUUUGGGCGAUGGUGAGUGGCAACCGAUAACGAUGGCAGUUUUGGAGUCUUGAAUUGAAGCGUUGAGCAGCGAUUUAGGGAUCGGUGUCGGCUACGUGCUCUGUUGUUUCUGCAGUUAGAUUGUUUUGUUCUUUUUCCUAAUCUUUAAUGGUAGAUUGGACCAUGCUUAGUGAA